rnacentral:rRNA from 1 species
GUGCCAGCCGCCGCGGUAAGACGGGAGAUGCAAGCGUUGUCCGGAUUUAUUGGGCGUAAAGAGCUCGUAGGCGGUUCAACAAGUCGGUCGUGAAAGUUCAGGGCUCAACCCUGAAAUGUCGAUCGAUACUGUUGUGACUAGGAUACGGUAGAGGUGAGUGGAAUUCCGAGUGUAGCGGUGAAAUGCGUAGAUAUUCGGAGGAACACCAAUUGCGAAGGCAGCCCACUGGGCCGCUAUCGACGCUGAGGAGCGAAAGCUAGGAGAGCAAACAGGAUUAGAUA